rnacentral:sRNA from 1 species
UCGGACCGCACGCCGAGUCCUGUCCCCGGUCCGGUGCCCCCUCCACGCGCGGCCGGGACAGGAGCGGGGGAACCACGUUCCUCCGGGCGUCCUGCCUCGGCAGGCGUCCUUGGGGUGAAGCCAGCUGCCUUGAUGUGCUGGCCGGGCUCCCCGCCCGAACCCGACAGCUCACCUCGUAGGCGCCCGGGAAAGGGCUC